UAGGCGUAAAUGAUGCGAGUUAAGUGUGGGGGCAUCUACGAGAUGGCCCUGUGCUGUAGGGUAGCCGUUAAACUCGCUGCCUGGGGAGUACGGUCGCAAGGCUGAAACUUAAAGGAAUUGGCGGGGGGAGGCACCACAAGAGGUGGAGGCUGCGGUUCAAUUGGACUCAACGCCGGAAACUCAUCGGGAGCGACAGCAGUAUGAUUGCCAGGUUGAUGACCUUGCUUGACAAGCUGAGAGGUGGUGCAUGGCGUAGUCGUGU
rnacentral:rRNA from 1 species